GGGGCGAACGGGGUGAGUAAUUUUUUGGGAAAUGGCCCCGAUAGGAGGGGGGAUAAAUUACCUGGAAAGGGGUGGGUUAUACCGCCAUUUUCUCUUUCGGGGCAAAAGUGGGGGGGAUCUUCGGGCCCUUUCUCUAUUGGAUUUUCCCAAAUGGGAUUAGGUAGUGGGUGGGGUAAAGGCUCACCUAGGCAACGAUCCCUAGUGGUUUGAGAGGAUGACCAAGCCACACGGGGAUUGAGACACGGUCCAGAAUCCUUACGGGAGGCAGCAGUGGGGAAUUUUGCACAAUGGGGGCAAGCGUGAUGCAGCCCUUGCCGCGUGUUGAUGAAGGCCUUCGGGUUGUAAAGUACUUUCACAGGGAGGAAAAGGUUCUGUUUAUAUCAGUUUUAUUGACGUUAUUUGCAGAAUAAGCACCGGCUAAUCCGUGCCAGCAGCCGCGGUAUUACGGAGGGUGCAAGCGUUUAUGGGAAUUACUGGGCGUAAAGCGCACGUUGGCGUUUUGGAAAGUAAGAUGUGAAAUCCCCGGGCUUUAACCUGGGAAUGCAUUUGAAACUGGCUAGCUAGAGUCUUGUAGAGGGGGGUAGAAUUCCAGGUGUAGCGGUGAAAUGCGUUUAUUUUAGAGGAAUACCGAUGGCGAAGGCAGCCCCCUGG
rnacentral:rRNA from 1 species